AUGCUACUUAGCAACCGUAGAGGGGUAGAACUAACUGCAAUCUAGGUCCUACUGACAAGGGAUGGACUGAGCCGACAGGGAAGGGCUGCUGCAUUCACAGGCCUAGAGGAUCCCUUCCCCAGGAAUCCCCAGCCUCUGUUGGGUUGAUAUCAGUGGGACUGCUCACAAAUGUCAGCUCAUCUGAAAAUACGCCUUCUGCUGCUGCCUCUUAAAGCAAAUCUUAUGAGAACAGUUAGAUCCUGCAACGCUGGAAUCUGAGGUCCUCUCAGGCAUUGGAAACCAAAUAACUGGAAUCUGCAGAAUGAGGUUUGUUUUCUUACAACAAACUCCCUGUGAUGUGUGUCUGCUGUGCUGAUCC
rnacentral:lncRNA from 1 species